AGUAACUUAGGUUAGAUUAGACUGUUUGUUUUCAAAACAAGAGGGGACUUUAGUG
rnacentral:tRNA from 1 species